GAACAAUUAACGUCACACUGACCUAGAAAUGAUUAAGUUGGGAAGAGAAAUGAUCACCAAGGGCUGGAGAUCUUCAACCUCGACCACUUACCUACCCCCGAAUGAACACUUACCGUGGAUAAAUCGUUUUUCAGGAAGGGAUUAAGUAUUGGAAUAAACAAUGGAACAAGCAGGUAAAAUUGGUCAAUGAUUUUUCAUCAUUUGGUGAUUGGUUGAGAAGAUUACACGACGAAAUUUUACGACAAAAGAUUAUUAAUCAAACAUAUCACACGACAAAAUAUUAUUAAGAGAAAUAUCACAGAUGGAAAAAAAAUAUUGAUUUUAAAAUCAUACUGUACGUUCUUUCCUAGUUUCCUCCAUUGAAUCUUCGGAAAUUCAUUGAAUAAUAAAAUAUAGUCAACAAAAAAUUAAAACACGUAAUAUUAUGACGAAUAAUAAUUUUUCAAAUAAAAUUUUCGACUUACAAUAUUUUCCAGUCAUAUUUUGUCAGAUAAUAUUACGUCUCUGUAAUGAUUUGUCGUGCUACCGAUUGAGAAGCUGCAGAGGUACACAGAGAUAAUCGCAUGGAAUACCUAGAGAAAUUCUCCCAGCCUCUAAUCAAAGACGAAACUGUCAUCGCUUUCACCUCUGGAGAUGCACCAGACAUUUUCACCCAGAGACUAGUUGUUUAAUCUCCCGUCAAGUCAUUAAUCAUAACUUGUUAUCAGUCGGAGUAUUUAAACACUAUUUUCCUCACUUAAAAAUAAAACAGCAAUUAUUUUUGACCUCUUUAUUUACUGCCAUGGAGAGCACAAAAAAUCUACACGUAGCUCACUGACACCUCAUCAUCACUCCCAUAAAAAAACAAAUCAAACUUUUACAAAAUAUCGACAUGACACAAUUUAAAAAAUCUCAGAGCUCCUCACGAUCUGCCUUCCACAAAUUACAUUUAAAACACAAUCAAUAAGACACCCAAAAUCAAUAAAAUACACCUAAGCCCAAGCCCAGGAUGGCGUCACGGGUUUAAAAUUGAACUUCUCAGGCUGUCCGACGUGCGUAACCCCCGGGAAGUCCCUCUUCCACUCGAAAGCCUCCCCGAAUCGUCCGGGAAAUGGACCGGAAGUGGCUUCGAAAGUGUCAAUCCCCUCAGAUCCAAUGAGUAUCAAUUUUGUAUCAAUAUUUCCAAACGGAACUGCCACCUUCUCAAGGUCACCCCUAUAACCCAUCACCCAUUCUGCUCCAGGUGUUUCUUCGAUUAGUUUCGAAUUCAGAGUGGAAUUUAUUUUGUCAGAGAUUGAGCCAUUUUGUUUAAUUUUUCCAAUUUCAUUGCUUUCAACCGAAUUUUUCUCUUUUUUGUCAGUCCCAUCGCUAUUUUCGAGAUGUUUAGACACUUCUGGGGGUGUGGAAUGCUCUGGAGGACUUGGAGUGAUGGCAGAAGAAACCGGAAUGGACUGUUUAUGUUCAAAAACGGAUUUUCCGUUGCAAAACAAUGACUUGG